AAAAUUUUAAGACUCAUUCCAACAUAUUUUGAUGAUUUGAUAGUAGAAAUAGGAACUUAUAUGUCUGUAGAAUAUUAAAGUUACAGCCAUGUUAAUAUCACAGCAAUAUGGCAGUAACAUCUUUGUCCUCUUGGUUAUGUUAUUUCGCUGCGGAACUGGUCAAGAUGUAUGCAAAAAAGAAAUAUCAACAAAGGGUCGGCACUUUUUGGUAACUGUUCCACCGAUAUUAUUGCUCAAUGAAUUCAACUGCUCAAUAGAUAUUGCAAGUUCAGGCUAUGGUCAUGCAAUAGUUCUACAGCACAACGGUGACAACAUCCAUUCUUCAAUGAAGCUUGCCAAUUACAGUAUGUUGCGAGGUGUGUACAUCCUACUUACAAAAAUAAGGUUUUCGUUUCAUGAUUUUUUUGUUGAAUUAAGGUAUUAGAUCACUAAUAGUAAUGUUUACAAAAUAGCCUUUGCUUGGUAUAUUCUGAAAGGUAACCGUGUUUGGCACUAUUUUGC